UACGGAGGGGGCUAGCGUUAUUCGGAAUUAUUGGGCGUAAAGGGCGCGUAGGUGGCCUGUUAAGUCGAACGUGAAAUCCCCGGGCUCAACCCGGGAACUGCGUCCGAGACUGGCAGGCUCGAAUCCGGGAGAGGGAUGUGGAAUUCCAGGUGUAGCGGUGAAAUGCGUAGAUAUCUGGAGGAAUACCGGUGGCGAAGGCGGCAUCCUGGACCAUUACUGACGCUGAGGCGCGAAAGCUAGGGGAGCAAACGGG
rnacentral:rRNA from 1 species